GGCCCAAAUUCGAAGUAGAGUCGAUUGGUACGAUCAUCCGACCAUGCUAAUGUACUCUACUUCAAGUUUGCGCCC
rfam:Haemonchus contortus, ISE/inbred ISE, WGS project CAVP01000000 data, contig: Hcontortus_34468